UAGGUUUGUCCUAAGUCAAACAUCUUUGAGUUUGACAAGGUCUAUAGAAAAAUAUUUUAACAUCUACAACAUCAGCUGUAUAUAGAAUGAAAAUACAUUUUAUGAUGAAUCUAAUGACACUAAUUUGAUGUUCUAGAUGUUAGUAUAUUUUCUAUAGGCUUGGUCAAGCUUAAAGAUGUUUGACUUAAGAGGACAAACCUAG
rfam:Triticum urartu cultivar G1812 contig1203633, whole genome shotgun sequence.